rnacentral:tRNA from 1 species
UCCCUGGUGGCUCAGAGGGUAAAGCAUCUGCCUGCAAUGCGGGAGACCCAGGUUUGAUCCCUGGGUUGGGAA